rnacentral:rRNA from 1 species
UACGUAGGGGGCUAGCGUUGUCCGGAAUCAUUGGGCGUAAAGCGCGUGUAGGCGGUCCGGUAAGUCCGCUGUGAAAGUCGGGGGCUCAACCCUCGGAUGCCGGUGGAUACUGUCGGGCUUGAGUACGGAAGAGGCGAGUGGAAUUCCUGGUGUAGCGGUGAAAUGCGCAGAUAUCAGGAGGAACACCAAUUGCGAAAGGCAGCUCGCUGGGACGUUACUGACGCUGAGGAGCGAAAGCGUGGGGAGCGAACAGG